rnacentral:rRNA from 1 species
CUGGCUCAGGAUGAACGCUAGCUACAGGCUUAACACAUGCAAGUCGAGGGGCAGCAUUGGGAUAGCUUGCUAUUCAGAUGGCGACCGGCGCGCGGGUGAGUAACGCGUAUCCAACCUUCCUGCCAGUAGGGAACAGCCCGGCGAAAGUCGGAUUAAUGCCCUAUGUUCUUCAAUGCGGACAUCUAAGUUGAAGGAAAGAUUCAUCGCUGGCAGAUGGGGAUGCGUCCGAUUAGCUUGCCGGCGGGGUAACGGCCCACCGGGGCGACGAUCGGUAGGGGUUCUGAGAGGAAGGUCCCCCACACUGGUACUGAGACACGGACCAGACUCCUACGGGAGGCAGCAGUGAGGAAUAUUGGUCAAUGGGCGUAAGCCUGAACCAGCCAAGUAGCGUGCAGGAUGACGGCCCUACGGGUUGUAAACUGCUUUUAUGCGGGGAUAAAGUGCGGCACGUGUGCCGCUUUGCAGGUACCGCAUGAAUAAGGACCGGCUAAUUCCGUGCCAGCCGCCGC